GGGAAGGGCUUGCUGCUUGCUAGUGUGGUUUAGAACAAACUUUGUUUGUCUAAUGUUGUCACAUUUUGAGGGUGAGUUGCAUCUAUGGAUCUAGAAGCUAGGCUAGGAAAAUGUGUUAUUAUGAAUCUGUUCAGGCUGGAUGUACUUGCUCAAUUUGGCGCAUGCUUUAAGGGUAAAUUAAAGUGAUGCAGAAUUGAAAAUAUUGAAUUUGCUUUAUGGAAGCCUACAGAAGUGUAACCAUCUGUUGGUUAGUUAUGGCAGCAAAGGUGUUCUACUGAUGAGGAGAAAGUGACAUACACAUUUUGUUAAUUUUUUCAAAACUUAUGUAUGUGUGAUGCUAUUAUAAUCUGACUCCACCUAAAAUUUGUGGUGGGAUUAGUCCUGACCAUGCCUCUUGAAGUCAAUCUUCUUAGGUACUUAUAUACAUAUCAUUUCACUAGUCUCUUUCCAGCAUGAGACUUGGUUGUUACAGCUGCAAGGUAGUUGACUGGCAGGGGCUAUAUUAGAUCAUCAAUUAUGUCUUAUGUAUGCUAAAAGAACCUGACAAAUUUUCCUGUAUACAAAUAUAAGAGUGCUUUCCCCCAAGAUGAUGUAGGAUAGAAAGAAUAUGGAGGUCAAAUUAAAUGGAGAAAGUUUCAGACAACAAUAAGGCUUUAUUUUCUAUAUCAUGAAGGCUGCAAAUUGAAAAGCAUGUUCUGUCAAUGACUAUGGCCAAAACAUGGAUGGCUAGGUAGAUAUUUUAUAAACCAUUAAAAGGAGAACAUAAUGAUGGAUUUCUAAGUUGCAUCACUAAACGUGGGGGAGUGUGAAAGAAAGUUGUUGAAGAAGGUUCCUCCAUUUUGAUGAGACAAGUGAGCACCUGAAGAAUUUUAGCCAAAUACUAAAGAUGGUUUGGUUUGAGAAAGGCCAAAGAACAUGAGUGUUGUUGGUGAAGAGAAUAGAUGUGAUGGCUGAGGAUCCAAUGAUGUAUAUGGAUUUAGAUGUAGUUAAUGGUUAAAGAAGUAUUUCCGUUAGUUGAUAACAAGUAGGCUAAUGGUGCCUAUUCCUUAUUAGCUUCUUGUUAUUUUUGUAGAAGGGUUAUGUUUUUUCCCAGUUUUGGGCUCAGCUUGUAAUAGCUGAAAGAUAUUACAAUAAUCAUAUCCUCAAUCCAGGUUUUUCAACUGAUAAUGGGUUCUUUGACAUUCAGUCUUCAAUUGAGAGAACUUUGAAUUUCUGGAUUGUUCAUUUACCUGCAUUUACUGAAUUGCAGGUAUGGCUUUGGUUGGCGAGGCGGAAGAUGGUAUGCAAAUAGGAAGUACAGAAAGGAACAGAUGAAAUUACUAGGGCAGAUAAAGCCUAAAAGGUGGCAGUUGUUGGCACGCAUGAGACCUAAGGAGUGGCAAUUCCAGUUUAUUAAAAGAGGAUUUCCUAGAUACAGAGCCUCCGAAUGUGAAGGUAAAGCAUCUGAAAAGAUGCUGAAGGAUGCUCCUACAACAAAUAAUCCUGGAGAAUUCCAUCGGUCUUGUUAGAACAACAUCAGUCCCU
rnacentral:misc_RNA from 1 species